AUCUUUGUGUAUGUCCUUAUGUGUGUGUCUAUAUGUGCAUAUCUGUGGUUCUAUCACUUUGUAUCUGUGUGUCACAGUGUGCAUCUUAAAGUGUCAGUGUGUGUGCCAGUGUAUAUAUUUCUUUGUGUAUAUCUCUGUAUGUUUUGGUGUAAUCUGACUGUGUGUGGCUGUGUGCAUUUGUAUGUGUUUUGUAGUGUAUAUCAGUGUGUGUAUGUCUGGCAGUGUGUAUUUUUAUCCUUGUGUGUGUCUAUGAAAGUGUGCCUCUGUAUGGAAGCUGAGAAUCUGUAUCAAUGUUUGUUUUAGUGUAUCCAUAUGUACAAAUUUGUGUCUGUGUGCAUGUCUGGGAGUGUGCGUCAGAUGGACGCUGCAAAAUUGAUUUGUAAGUGGCUCCACUAUAUCUGAUAGCAGUUUAACUUUUGAUCAUCCCUGGUGAGUAAUUUAUACUAUUUAAUAAUGGACUUAAAUGAAAC